rnacentral:lncRNA from 10 species
CUGGGGCAAGGAUUCACCUUUCUCUUCUCUUUCCAAAUGUCCCAAUACAAUCAACAGAUUAACUUGGGGGAAUCAGUAUCUUUUUUUUUUAUUUUACUUUAUUUUUUAUUUUUUUUGAGACAGCUCUGUCGCCCAGGCUGGAGUGCAGUGGUGUGAUCACAGCUCACUGCAACCUCCACCUCCUGGGUUCCAGUGAUUCUCGUGCCUCAGCCUCCGAAGAAACUGUGAUUACAGUUGUGCGCCACCACGUGGCUAAUUUUUGUAUUUUUAGUAGAGACGAGUUUUGCCAUAUUGGUCAGGCUGGUCUCAAACUCCUGGCCUCAAGUGAUCCAGCUGCCUCAGCCUCCCAAAGUGCUAAGAUUGCAGGCAUGAGACACCAUGCCCAGCCCCAUUCGUAUCUUUAUAAUACUGAAGGUUGUUUUUAUUUUUUAUUUUUUUUUUUUUGAGAUAGGAUCUUGCUGUGUUACCCAGGCUGGAGUACAGUUGUGCGAACAUGGCUCACUGCAGCCUCAACCUCCGAAACUCAAGCGAUCCUCCCACUUCAGCCUCCUGAGUAGCUGGGACUACAGGCACACAGCACCAUGCCAGCUAAUUUUUAAAUUUUUUGUAGAGAUGGGGUUUCACCAUGUUGCCCAGGCUGCUCUUGAACUCCUAAGCUCAAGUGAUCCUCCCACCUUGGCCUCCCAAAGUGUUGGUAUUACAGGUGUGAGCCACUGCACCCAGUCACAAUACUGAGUUUUAUUAUUCAAACAAACAGUCUGAUUUUUUUUUCCAGUUACUCUAUGUUCUACAGUAACAAUUUAUAGUUUUCUGCACAGGUUCUGUACAUUUCUUUUUACACAUAUUACUACACAUUUCAUGGUUUUUCUUGCUUUUGAAAUAGGAUCCUUUUUCUAUCAUAUUUUCUAACUGAUUACUGCUGACAUGAAGAAAGCUAUUUAGUUGUUUUAUACUUCUCUUGUAUCUAUUUUCUGAGGCUAACAUGAAACCAAACAACUUCAGUAGCUUUUCAACCUUUCUGUAAACAGAAACUUGUAUUAUGUAUUAUGGUAUAAGUUUAUCUUUAUCUAAUCAACAUUUUAAAUGUAUCUUAAACCUAACAAUUUACACAUACACACACACACACGCGCGCAGUUUCUCCAUACUCUUGUGCAAGUAAAACUGUCCCAUAAAAGAGAGAUUUCACACUGAUUCCUCAGCAAGAGUCUGGGCUUUGCUUCUUGCACUUUCUAGCAUCAGAGCAACAGACCAGCUCAGCACCAAGAGUGAGUCACUAUCCAAUCCACCUUAUUAGCCAUCUAACAUUCUGAAUAGCUAUGAUAUUCACGCUAAUUAGGAUCAAGUCAGGAUCUUUUCUGCUCAUGUAUUAUAACACAUUCAAGGGUUCCCUGUGCUUGAAUACUUCAUUAAGGGGAGAGUCUGUCUCUAGGUGGCUUUUUCUCCCUUGUGCCCAUUAAAAAACAAAACAAAAAAAAACAAGAGCCUUCAAGUUCAUUCUGCCACAAUGAUCUCCUUCAGCUAAUUCGACUAUCUAAUCUUUAUCAGUUCACUGAUAAUGGUCAAAAGUUUUCUC